rnacentral:rRNA from 1 species
UAGGGAAUCUUCGGCAAUGGACGAAAGUCUGACCGAGCAACACCGCGUGAGUGAAGAAGGUUUUCGGAUCGUAAAACUCUGUUGGUAGAGAAGAACGUUGGUGAGAGUGGAAAGCUCAUCAAGUGACGGUAACUACCCAGAAAGGGACGGCUAACUACGUGCCUG